UUGAGCGGCGGACGGGUUAGUAACGCGUGGGAAUGUACCCUUCUCUAAGGAAUAGCCUCUGGAAACGGAGAGUAAUACCUUAUACGCCCUUCGGGGGAAAGAUUUAUCGGAGAGGGAUCAGCCCGCGUUAGAUUAGAUAGUUGGUGGGGUAAUGGCCUACCAAGUCUACGAUCUAUAGCUGGUUUUAGAGGAUGAUCAGCAACACUGGGACUGAGACACGGCCCAGACUCCUACGGGAGGCAGCAGUGGGGAAUCUUGGACAAUGGGCGCAAGCCUGAUCCAGCCAUGCCGCGUGAGUGAUGAAGGCCUUAGGGUCGUAAAGCUCUUUCGCCAGGGAUGAUAAUGACAGUACCUGGUAAAGAAACCCCGGCUAACUCCGUGCCAGCAGCCGCGGUAAUACGGAGGGGGUUAGCGUUGUUCGGAAUUACUGGGCGUAAAGCGUACGUAGGCGGGUUGUUAAGUUAGAGGUGAAAUCCCAGGGCUCAACCCUGGAACUGCCUUUAAUACUGGCAACCUAGAGUUCGAGAGAGGUGAGUGGAAUUCCGAGUGUAGAGGUGAAAUUCGUAGAUAUUCGGAGGAACACCAGUGGCGAAGGCGGCUCACUGGCUCGAUACUGACGCUGAGGUACGAAAGUGUGGGGAGCAAACAGGAUUAGAUACCCUGGUAGUCCACACCGUAAACGAUGAAUGCCAGUCGUCGGGUAGCAUGCUAUUCGGUGACACACCUAACGGAUUAAGCAUUC
rnacentral:rRNA from 1 species